GCGGGCUCGCGGCCUGCGAGGCCGGGGCCUGCGGGUUCGGGCUCUGCGGGUUCGAGGCCUGCGGGUUCGGGCUCUGCGGGGUCACG
rnacentral:tRNA from 1 species